AUGCUUUUCCUCCCAGCUGCUGCUCUGUGCUGUCUGUGUUCAGCGCUGGUUGCCAUGGCAGCAGAGCUGAGUCAGGAUCAUUUAACAUUGACCAGGAGAGUUGGUCAAACCGUCUCCUUCAGCUGUGGAGGAACUGACCAGUGUAGCUACAAUGAGAUAUUCUGGUACCAGAAGAAAGACACAGAAACAUUCACACGGAUUCUUUAUUUCAACAAGAACUCUUGUAACAUAGGUAACAGGUACAAUCAUCCUCAGAAAGAUGAUUUCUCAGCUGUGAAUAAAAAGGAUGGCUGUGAGUUGCAGAUCCAGACAGUUAAACUCAGUCAUUCAGCCACCUACUACUGCUCCUGUUAGAAGUAUGUUCCCCACAGUGAGAAAUGAUCCCUGCAGCCUGAACAAAAACCAACAGAUGUCAAACAGUGUGUGUGACAGGAAGAGAGCAGUAAACCACAGCCCAGGUUCACAUAUUUCACCUCCAUCUCAGCCAGAGUCACAAACAUACUGAACUGAGGGACUGAUUUUCUUUCCUGCUGUCAGGAUUGAUUUCAUAUUCUAUUGAUUGAUAUUUUGAUCAGAUAUUUCAGCAGGUUUAUUGUUGUUCCACACAGUGAGGAGAAAGGAUACAAACAGAAGCACAAUGAUGAAAUCAAAUCAAGAGAAAACAAUAAAAGUACAAACUAAACAGAAACAGAUGAAAAGUAAAAGUCAUUUUGUAUAAUAGAAGAACAAAUUCCAAAGAAGAUGUUUGAGAUAAAGAUUCAGAUCCUCCUCUUUGUUCUGCUGCUGGAUACCUACAGCGUCACAUUUUGAAGCGGAGGGCCACUGACCGAGCUGCAGGAUUUGUCUUUUUUUUUUCCUUUCUCUCCCUUCCCCUUAUCCCCUCCCCCCUUUUCAAUUUUCUUCAUUCCUAAUUUUAUUUAUUUAAUUUAAUUUAUUUUUUUUUUUUUUAUUUUUAUAAAUAAAAAUAAUUUUUUAAAUUUUUUAAAAAAAAAAAAAAAAAUAAAAAAAAUAAAAAAAAAAAAAAAAAAAAAAAAACACAACAAAAAAAAAAAAAGAGGGGGAAAAAAGGGGGAAGGAUUAAUAAAAAAAAAAAGAAGAAAGGUUUAAAUAAAUUUAUUUUUUUUUUUUUUGGUUUGGGGUGUUUCCCCCCCCACCAAAAAUUGGGGGUUGUUUCUAGGGGGGGGGGGGGUUUAGUUAAUGGUGGCUCUCUUUUUUUCUUUUAAUAAAAAAAAAAAAAACCCCACAAAAAGUGUUUUUUUGUGGGGGAAAAGGAGUUGUUUUUUUAUAUUUAGCAACAAAAAAGUUUAAGGGGGGGGGGGGGGUUUUAAUUUAUUUUAUACUUUUGAGCCAGUGCAGAGAAGCUAGUACAGGAGAGAUGUGAUCUCUUUUUCUAGUUCCUGUCAGUACUCGUGCUGCAGCGUUCUGAAUUAAUUGGAUCGUUUUAAUGGACUUAUUGGGGCAACUUGAUAAUAAAGAGUUGCAGUAAUCCAGCCUUGAAGCAACAAAUGCAUGGAUUAGUUUUUCUGCAUCUGUCUGUGAUAGUAUGUGUCUAAUUUUGUAAUUAUUAUUAAGUAUUAUUAAUUAAGAUAAUUGAUUAAUUUCAUCGGGCUUGACUGAUAGAUAUAGCUGCGUAUCAUCUGCAUAACAGUGAAAGUUAAUGGAGUGAUUCCUAAUAAUGUUGUCUAAAGGGAGCAUAUAUAUAUAGUAAAUAGUAUAGGUCCAAGUACAGAACCUUGUGGAACUCCAUGACUAACUGUAGUAUUUAUUGAAGAUUCAUCGUUAACAUGUACAAACUGCGAGCGAUGCGAUAAAUAUGACUUAAACCAGCUUAGUGCGGUUCCUUUAAUGCCAAUUUGAUGCUCAAGUCUCUGUAAAAGAAUAUCAUGGUCAAUGGUGUCAAAUGCAGCACUAAGAUCUAAUAAUACAAGUACAGAGACAAGUCCAUUGUCAGAAGCAAUCAGAAGGUCAUUAUUAACUUUAACCAGAGCUGUCUCUGUGCUAUGAUGAACUCUAAAUCCUGACUGAAAAUCCUCAAAUAAACCAUUGUUAUGUAGAAAGUCACACAACUCUUUGGCGACUACUUUCUCCAGAAUCUUAGAGAGGAAGGGGAGGUUAGAAAUCGGUCUAUAGUUGGCUAAAACCCCUGGGUCAAGAGUGGGCUUUUUAAGAAGGGGUUUAAUUACAGCUACUUUAAAGGACUGUGGUACAUAUCCUGAUAAUAAAGAAAGAUUAAUCAUAUCCAGUAAAGAAGUGCCAAUUAAGGGAACAACUUCUUUAAGCAGCCUAGUUGGGAUCGGGUCUAAUAGACAGGUUGAUGGCUUCGAUGAAGAAAUGAUUGAAGUUAACUGAUGAAGAUCGAUAGCAGAAAAACAGUCUAAAUAUAUAUCUAAGUUUACAUUGACAGAAGUCCCUGAACUUGGAGAGCCACUGAUAACUGUUGAUGGCAGUUGGUGAUUAAUUUUCUCUCUAAUAGUAAUAAUUUUAUUAUAAAAAAAGCUCAUGGAGUCGUUGCUACUUAAGUUUAUGGGGAUAUGUUGCUCAAUAGAGCUGUGGCUCUCUGUCAGCCUGGCUACAGUGCUGAAGAGGAACCUAGGGUUAUUCUUAUUUACUUCUAUUAGUGCUGAGUAAUAGGCUCCUCUGGCAUUACGGAGGGCCUUUCUAUAAGUUUUAAGAUUAUCUUGCCAUUUUGAGCGAUAUUCUGAUCAUUUUGAGGAGCGCCAUUUCCUUUCAGAUUUCCUAGCUAUUUGUUUUAACUGGCGGGUUUGGUGGUUAUACCAAGGUGCUAGUCUCCUAUGUUUUAAUAAUUUCCUUUUUAUAGGAGCGAUAGAGUCUAAUGUUGAUCGUAGUGAGCCUGUAGCACUAUCGACAAGAUUAUCAAUUUGGGAGGGACUAAAGUCGUUAUAGGACUCUGUUAAAUUCAGACAUGGCAUUGAAUUAAACACUGAAGGAAUCUCCUCCUUGAAUUAAGCUACAGCACUGUCAGAUAGACAUCUGCUGUAGGAAGUUUUGCUUAAUGGCUUAUAAUCUAAUAAUAUGAAUUCAAAAGUUAUUAAAUAAUGGUCAGAUAGGAAAGGAUUAUGUGGGAAGACUAUUAAAUGUUCAAUAUCAAUGCCAUAUGAUAGAACAAGGUCAAGGGUGUGAUUAAAACAAUGAGUUGGUUUAUUUACACUCUGACAGAAGCCAAUUGAGUCUAUUAAUGAUAUAAAUGCAUUACUAAGGCUGUCAUUGUUAACAUCCACAUGAAUAUUAAAAUCACCUACAAUAAUUACUUUAUCUGAUUUAAGGACUAAACUUGAUAAAAACUCUGAAAAUUCAGAUAUAAAAUCAGAGUACGGUCCAGGAGCACGGUACACUAUAACAAAUAGAACUGGCUGCAGUGUUUUCCAGUUUGGGUGAGAAAGACUAAGAACAAGGCUUUCAAAUGAAUUAUAGUUUAGUUUAGGUUUAGGGUCCAUUAAAACGCUCGAAUCAUAUAUGGCUGCCACUCCACCUCCUCGGCCAGUGCCUCGAGGAAUGUGAGUAUUAAUAUGACUGGGGGGUGGAUUCAUUUAGGCUAACAUACUCCUCGUGGGACAACCAGGUCUCAGUAAGACAAAGUAAAUCAAUAUCAUAAUCUGAUAUUAAUUCAUUCACUAAAACAGCUUUAGAGGACAGAGACCUGAUAUUUAACAGCCCACAUUUCAUUCUCUUAUUUUGUGCCACUGAGGAAUUGGUUUUGAUUUUUAUUAGAUUUUUAUGUUGAACUCCUCUUGUUUUUAUUUCUUUAAAUAGUUUAGGUGGUCGGGGGACAGACACAGUCACUGUGGGGUUUUGGGUGGGUGACUGUUCUAAAGAAAGCGCAGAGAAGUGUGUAAGACAGCAGCUCUGCUUCCUGGUCCCAACUCUGGACUGUCAGGUUUUAGAAAUAAACUUCGCCAUAUUUCUAGAUAAGAGAGCCGCUCCAUCCAAAGUGGGAUCGAUGCCAUCUCUCCUAAUCAGACCAGGUUUUCCCCAAAAAGCCUUCCAGUUAUCAAUGAAGCCCACAUCGUUUUCUGGACACCUCCUCGACAGCCAGCGGUGGAAUGACGACAUGUGGCUAUACAUGUCAUCACUGGUCACAUUGGGCAGGGGUCCAGAGAAAGCUACGGAGUCCGACAUUGUUUUAGCAUAAUUACACACCGACUCCACAUUAAUCUUAGCCACUCCCUCCUGCCCUGCAGUAACCCCUUUCACCUGACCUUCCCCCACCCACCUGCUCACCUGCUCCCCAUUUCCAGCCAUACUUCAUGUCUGCUUUGUCCACCCAGCUAUCCAGCCUUUGUUCUGGCUUCCUGACCUGCUGCUUGAUCCACAGUUUGAUGUGGGUUCAGUGGGUUUAACAAAUAUCAAAAUGAUGGCAAAUGCAGCACAACCUGUCAAUGUAGUUAUUACACCAUAAAAGGAAAAAACAAGAUGGGCCCAAAUUAUGAAAAUAAGAAAACUAUAUAUUACCCCAGGACUUUCUGCUCAGUCUCUAGGGUGCACACCAUUAAAUUACCAAUCAGUUCAACUCUCUUCUUGAACUGUAACUGUGAAUAAUGGGCCGUCCACACGAAUAUGUUUUUUUCGAAUCCGGAUAAAUACUUUAUCAUAUCGGCCUCGCGUCUAGACGGAUACGGCUUUUUCGGAGUGUGAAAACGGUAUUUUUUGAAAACGGGUCCCAGAGUGGGAAAAUCCGAAAACCCCGGAUUGCCCAGAGUCGUCUGGACGGCGAAAACAGAUUUUUUCAAACCGAUGACGUAUUAGCCCCGCCUCUCUAGCCUUUAACCUCAGCCGCUGCCGCUAGACGCGUCAUAACAACAACAAGAAUGGCGGACUACUACUACUUGUUUGUAAACAGCGCAUGCUCCAUGGCUUCUUUUGCGGUUUUAGUGUAUUGGUGUGGCGGCGUCACAGCGCCACAUACAGACCUGGCAUAUGUACUACAGCGUUUUGGGUCGUUUCAGUGAAUCCGUGUGGACACAGAUAUUUCUGGUAACGACGCCGAAGUUUACAGAGAUUUUUUCCAAAACGAC
ensembl:lncRNA